GUCGAUGACCAUUCAGUUUUAAACAAAAAAAAAAAGAAAGAACAGAAUUUUCGGUCUCGAUGUUAUUUAACGGAAGACGAUUUCCAUGGUGAAACUCAUGAUAUGAACGGCCGCGGUGUACUUCCGGUGGUAAAGAUGGAAGCGACUGCUUGAAGAGGUUAAGAUCGACGGUAGCAAUCAAAGAACUAUCGAUUUUUUCAGAUUUGCUGGAAAACUUCAUGACGAUCCAAACUCGAUAGAUCCACAGAGGACUUCUCUGUUUCCGAUCUAUUAGGCAUCCGUGAAAGACAUGAUGAGUUUGAGAUGGUUGACGAACUUCACACUUUCAGCUCUGUUUGACAUAGUCCAAAGAAGAUUUGAAAGACCACAAAUGCAGGAAUAAAUUUGGAUCCGGAUAAAUACGUUGGAAGUAAACAUUUACCAUCACGAAAAGGGAGAUCAUGGGACAGAGACAUGACUGCAAUGAAAUACAAACCCAAGGUAUAGGGUUUGAGAAAAGGAAAAAAGGAUUUGAUGGGGUUUUCAUGGUAUAGAACCUUGAUCAUGAAGAUGAAUAUGAUGGGCUGAACAAUCAUUGCUCAUUGGAUUUUAAAAUGAAAAGGAUAGUCUGCAGCGGGCCUUAAUAUGUAUGUUGGGAUAUAACGGGCUAUAAUAAUCAAGGUUUCUGAUUGGUCUGGUUAUUUACGAUUUUUAUUAAAAAAAUGGUAAUGGCAUUUGGCUGUAAUUUACUUGAAAAGGCAGGGGCAGAAUCCCAGUAGGGAUUCUGCUUUAAUAGUAUAGAUAAUAUCACGUUUCAUGUACAUAUAUGUCAGACCAUAUUUUUCAACAUAACACUGUAUAGAUAUAAUCAUUUUAAAUUUUUGUAUAGAACCUUUUAAAAAGUUCCUGUACUGAUACUACUCAUAUGAAGACAUUUAUUAUUAAACAUUAACCCUGAAAAUCACUUCGCCCUAAACCCAAUAUGAUGUACAA